GGAGUUAGCCGGUGCUUCUUCUGUGAGUGAUGUCCUUCCUGACGGUUAUUGACCCGCAGGCCUUCUUCCUCACUGAAAGUGCUUUACAACCCGAAGGCCUUCUUCACACACGCGGCAUGGCUGGAUCAGGGUUGCCCCCAUUGUCCAAUAUUCCCCACUGCUGCCUCCCGUAGGAGUCUGGGCCGUGUCUCAGUCCCAGUGUGGCUGAUCAUCCUCUCAGACCAGCUACGGAUCGUCGCCUUGGUGAGCCGUUACCUCACCAACCAGCUAAUCCGACAUAGGCUCAUCCGAUAGCGCGAGGCCCGAAGGUCCCCCGCUUUCCCCCGUAGGGCGUAUGCGGUAUUAGCCUGGGUUUCCCCAGGUUAUCCCCCACUACCGGGCAGAUUCCUAUGCAUUACUCACCCGUCCGCCGCUCGCCACCAGGGAGCAAGCUCCCCGUGCUGCCGCUCGACUUGCAUGUGUUAGGCCUGCCGCCAGCGUUCAAUCUGAGCCAUGAUCAAACUCUGA
rnacentral:rRNA from 1 species